rnacentral:SRP_RNA from 1 species
ACUACAGAUGAUCCAUUCACCUGUAAUCCUGGUUACCAGGGAGUCUGAGGCUGGUGCAUGUCUUGAGCUUGGUUGUUAUAAGCUUCAGUAGGGCUAUAAAGCUGAUGGGAUGGCAACACUAAGUCUAGAACCAACAUGGUGAGUCCCCAGGAAUGGGUGGGGGCCAUUGGGUUGCCCAAGGAGGGGUGAACUGGCUCAGGCUGGAAAUGGAACAAGUCGAAACUUUUGUUCUAAUCAAUAUUAGAACCGGGCCACACAUGCAAGGCAGCUAGAUGGCUUUGUGGCUUGAGCACUGGACUU